AGUCAAGUAAUUAAGUGCAUGUGGUGGAUGCCUUGGCAGUCAGAGGCGAUGAAAGACGUGAUAGCCUGCGAAAAGCUCCGGGAGGCGGCAAAUAUCCUUUGAUCCGGAGAUGUCUGAAUGGGGGAACCCACCUACUUUAAGGUAGGUAUUGCAACAUGAAUACAUAGUGUUGCAAGGCGAACGAGGGGAAGUGAAACAUCUCAGUACCCUUAGGAAAAGAAAUCAAUUGAGAUUCCCUCAGUAGCGGCGAGCGAACGGGGAUCAGCCCAUUAAGUUAUGUGUGUUUUAGUGGAACGCUCUGGGAAGUGCGAACGUAGAGGGUGAUAUUCCCGUACACGAAAGGGCACACAUAAUGAUGACGAGUAGGGCGAGGCACGUGAAACCUUGUCUGAAUAUGGGGGGACCAUCCUCCAAGGCUAAAUACUCCUGACUGACCGAUAGUGAACCAGUACCGUGAGGGAAAGGCGAAAAGAACCCCUGUGAGGGGAGUGAAAUAGAUCCUGAAACCGCAUGCAUACAAGCAGUGGGAGCACCUUCGUGGUGUGACUGCGUACCUUUUGUAUAAUGGGUCAGCGACUUAUAUUCAGUAGCGAGGUUAACCGUAUAGGGGAGCCGUAGAGAAAUCGAGUCUUAAUAGGGCGUUUAGUUGCUGGGUAUAGACCCGAAACCAGGCGAUCUAUCCAUGAGCAGGUUGAAGGUUGGGUAACACUAACUGGAGGACCGAACCCACUGUCGUUGAAAAGCCAGGGGAUGACUUGUGGAUAGGGGUGAAAGGCUAAUCAAGCCUGGUGAUAGCUGGUUCUCCCCGAAAGCUAUUUAGGUAGCGCCUCGGACGAAUACCAUAGGGGGUAGAGCACUGUUUCGGCUAGGGGUCAUCCCGACUUACCAAACCGAUGCAAACUCCGAAUACCUAUGAGUACUAUCCGGGAGACAGACUGCGGGUGCUAACGUCCGUAGUCAAGAGGAAAACAAUCCAGACCGCCAGCUAAGGCCCCAAAAUCAUAGUUAAGUGGGAAACGAUGUGGGAAGGCAUAGACAGCUAGGAGGUUGGCUUAGAAGCAGCCACCCUUUAAAGAAAGCGUAAUAGCUCACUAGUCGAGUCGGCCUGCGCGGAAGAUGUAACGGGGCUAAAACUAUGUGCCGAAGCUGCGGAUGUAUACUUUGUAUACGUGGUAGGGGAGCGUUCUGUAAGCCGAUGAAGGUGUGUUGAGAAGCAUGCUGGAGGUAUCAGAAGUGCGAAUGCUGACGUGAGUAACGACAAAACGGGUGAAAAACCCGUUCGCCGAAAGACCAAGGGUUCCAGUCCAACGUUAAUCGGGGCUGGGUGAGUCGACCCCUAAGGCGAGGCCGAAAGGCGUAGUCGAUGGGAAAAUGGUUAAUAUUCCAUUACUUCUGUGUAAUGCGAUGAGAGGACGGAGAAGGCUAAAUCAGCCUGGCGUUGGUUGUCCAGGUGAAAGGAUGUAGGCAUGUAUCUUAGGCAAAUCCGGGGUACUCUAUGCUGAGAUCUGAUAGCAAGCUGUACUUGUACAGCGAAGUGGUUGAUGCCAUGCUUCCAGGAAAAGUCUCUAAGCUUCAGUUACACAGGAAUCGUACCCGAAACCGACACAGGUGGUCAGGUCGAGUAGACCAAGGCGCUUGAGAGAACUCUGCUGAAGGAACUAGGCAAAAUGGUACCGUAACUUCGGGAGAAGGUACGCUGUUGUUGGUGAUGGAACUCGCUUCCUGAGCUGACGACAGCCGCAGAAACCAGGCCGCUGCAACUGUUUAUUAAAAACAUAGCACUCUGCAAACACGAAAGUGGACGUAUAGGGUGUGAUGCCUGCCCGGUGCUGGAAGGUUAAUUGAUGGGGUUAGCGUAAGCGAAGCUCUUGAUCGAAGCCCCAGUAAACGGCGGCCGUAACUAUAACGGUCCUAAGGUAGCGAAAUUCCUUGUCGGGUAAGUUCCGACCUGCACGAAUGGCAUAAUGAUGGCGGCGCUGUCUCCAGCAGAGGCUCAGUGAAAUCGAAAUCGCUGUGAAGAUGCAGUGUACCCGCGGCUAGACGGAAAGACCCCGUGAACCUUUACUGCAGCUUGACACUGAACUUUGACCUUACUUGUGUAGGAUAGGUGGGAGGCUUUGAAGCUGGAACGCUAGUUCCAGUGGAGCCGUCCUUGAAAUACCACCCUGGUAAUGUUGAGGUUCUAACUCUGUCCCGUGAUCCGGGACGAGGACCGUGUCUGGUGGGUAGUUUGACUGGGGCGGUCUCCUCCUAAAGAGUAACGGAGGAGUACGAAGGUGCGCUCAGCGUGGUCGGAAAUCACGCGUAGAGUAUAAAGGCAAAAGCGCGCUUAACUGCGAGACCCACAAGUCGAGCAGGUACGAAAGUAGGUCUUAGUGAUCCGGUGGUUCUGUAUGGAAGGGCCAUCGCUCAACGGAUAAAAGGUACUCUGGGGAUAACAGGCUGAUACCGCCCAAGAGUUCAUAUCGACGGCGGUGUUUGGCACCUCGAUGUCGGCUCAUCUCAUCCUGGGGCUGAAGCAGGUCCCAAGGGUAUGGCUGUUCGCCAUUUAAAGAGGUACGCGAGCUGGGUUUAGAACGUCGUGAGACAGUUCGGUCCCUAUCUACCGUGGGCGCUGGAAAUUUGAGAGGAUCUGCUCCUAGUACGAGAGGACCAGAGUGGACGAACCUCUGGUGUACCGGUUGUGACGCCAGUCGCAUCGCCGGGUAGCUAUGUUCGGAAGGGAUAACCGCUGAAAGCAUCUAAGCGGGAAGCCUACCUCAAGAUAAGAUUUCCCUAGGACUUUAUGUCCUCUAAAGAGCCGUUCGAGACUAGGACGUUGAUAGGUUGGAUGUGGAAGCAUAGUGAUAUGUGAAGCUGACCAAUACUAAUUGCUCGUGAGGCUUGACUAU
rnacentral:rRNA from 1 species